rnacentral:rRNA from 1 species
GUAGGUGGCAAGCGUUGUCCGGAAUUAUUGGGCGUAAAGCGCGCGCAGGCGGUUCUUUAAGUCUGAUGUGAAAGCCCACGGGCUCAACCGUGGAGGGUCAUUGGAAACUGGAGAACUUGAGUACCAGAAGAGGAAAGCGGAAUUCCACGUGUAGCGGUGAAAUGCGUAGAGAUGUGGAGGAACACCAGUGGCGAAGGCGGCUUUCUGGUCUGUAACUGACGCUGAGGCGCGAAAGCGUGGGGAGCAAACAGGAUUAGAUACCCUGGUAGUCCACGCCGUAAACGAUGAGUGCUAAGUGUUAGGGGGUUUCCGCCCCUUAGUGCUGCAGCUAACGCAUUAAGCACUCCGCCUGGGGAGUACGGCCGCAAAGGCUG